UACGUAGGGGGCAAGCGUUGUCCGGAAUUAUUGGGCGUAAAGAGCUCGUAGGCGGUUUGUCGCGUCGGCUGUGAAAACUCGGGGCUCAACCCCGAGCCUGCAGUCGAUACGGGCAGACUAGAGUGCUGUAGGGGAGACUGGAAUUCCUGGUGUAGCGGUGAAAUGCGCAGAUAUCGGAAGGAACACCUGUGGCGAAAGCGGCUCACUGGACCAUAACUGACGCUGAGGCACGAAAGCUAGGGGAGCAAACAGG
rnacentral:rRNA from 1 species